AGUGUACUCAAAAAAACAAGCAAUAAGAAAUAAGACAAAGGGGGAACUUAAAUACUGACUGGUCAGCCCACAAAGACGAAAAAGGGGAGAACCCACAAAAACAUAUGGAAAUCCAAUCCCCCCCCUAUGAUCUUAAGUGGUGGUAUGACCCAACCUCUAUUUAUGCUUGCUCCGCCCCUUUUCCACCUCUACGUUCACCUGAAGGACAGGAGCAGCUUCCGUUGAGUGUUGGGAGACCCUCACUGAGACUGAAAGCAAGAGGUCAGACGUGUGGUCUUCACCGUACCUCCACCUUAACAAGCCCCUGGGCUGCACUCAGAGGGAAGCCGCACAUCAUGCACGUCUUUCCAUGCUACAGCUGGAGAAAUCAAUUAACUCCUUUCAAGUCAGAUCAAAGACCCAAUGCACCGACCAGGUCUUACUGAGACCUCUGGGACAAUUAAGUCUCCCGUUGGACAGCGACGAGGCCGCAGAGAUAAAGGCGGGCCGCUGCCACUGUUCGCCGACGUGUGAAGUUUCCCUAAACAACUGGGAUGAUAUCAAAAGGGAAUAUUUUGUUGCACGAUAAUCAGUAAUGACAUUUACAAAUAGCUCUCUUGCAAAAUGAUCUUACUCCCAGUUAUCCUACAGAAUUUGCACUUUGACUUUGAUUGGUCAUUUGCCUCGUGUAAAGAUAACACACCUAGAGUGCAGCACCCUUAAAGAUACGUACCUUAAAGUAAAUUAUUAGAGACUCUAGCUGCCACUAUUUGCCUCUGUUUCAAACUGUUUAUAGUUCUGGACAAGUUCAAGAAAGCGGUAAUUUUCUUGCAGCCAUCUCUGGACCUGUGAAACCCAACACAUAUCUGACUUUUUUGAAUUGGAUGGAGGGUUAGGGUUAAAUAAAGGUGAAUUUCAGUAGGUAAUUAAAAGUUCCUAAGAGACUAAAUGAAAGAAAUAAAGCAAACAAAAAUCUACUUCCUUACACAUACACAGAUGAGCACUAAUGUGUUGAGAAAGACGCCUCCUCUUUGGAUGCCAUGAGAAUAGAAGUUACUUCGAUUUUAAGAAUUUGUAAUACAUUUUUAAAGAGGCAAAACUUUAUUUUUGUACAGGCACAUGUACACAAAAUGUCUUACCCAUUUUGAAAAGUGGCAAUUUGGCCUCUGGGUCAAUGUUUGUUAUUGACCAAUAAUAAGCAUUUGUUGUAUUUGUGAAAAGAUUUUUAAAAAAACGUAGAGGUUUCCUUGGUUUCAUGGACCAACUUGGGUGGAGAAAAGCAUGAAAAGUCGUACGUGUCUGCUGAACUGAACUGAAGUAUUCUGCAGCACUUUUCAGAUGAGCUAGUCUAAUGUUUCUGAUAUUGCAUAAAAAUAAAGGUGAAUUUCUGUAGUUAAUUAAAAGUUCCUAGACUGUGUGAUUGACCUGUUAUUUAACCUCCAAAAAAGUAAAUUAUGAACAAUUUAAAAGGCUUCAGUUCAUUGUAUGUCAUGGAUAAUUUUAGACAAUGUCUCCCCGUUAAAAAAAAAAAAAAAAAUCGUCUUCAACGAUUCUAGAUGUUUUAAUUGAAAUUUAUUUUAAAUUUUGUAGGAUUUUUUUCAUAUCUUUACCAAAGGUGCUCACCACUGAGAAACCUGGUGAAUGUAAAAUAUUUUUUAUUAAAUUAGAUCUGAAUCUC